rnacentral:rRNA from 1 species
UAGGGAAUCUUCGGCAAUGGACGAAAGUCUGACCGAGCAACGCCGCGUGAGUGAAGAAGGUUUUCGGAUCGUAAAACUCUGUUGUUAGAGAAGAACAAGGACGUUAGUAACUGAACGUCCCCUGACGGUAUCUAACCAGAAAGCCACGGCUAACUACGUGCCAGCAGCCGCGGUAAUACGUAGGUGGCAAGCGUUGUCCGGAUUUAUUGGGCGUAAAGCGAGCGCAGGCGGUUUCUUAAGUCUGAUGUGAAAGCCCCCGGCUCAACCGGGGAGGGUCAUUGGAAACUGGGAGACUUGAGUGCAGAAGAGGAGAGUGGAAUUCCAGGUGUAGCGGUGAAAUGCGUAUAUAUAUGGAGGAACACCAGUGGCGAAGGCCGCUCUCUGGUCUGUAACUGACGCUGAGGCUCGAAAGCGUAGGGAGCAAACAGG